AUGGUAUUUCCAGAUCGCUAUUUCAAAAUUAUGCUUUCAAUUUUGUGUUAAGCGAUCCGAUGGCUUACCAGAUGUGUUACCAGAACCAGUAGCAUACUUGUGCCAAAAUGAAGUUGUUUUGCUAACGAACUAAAAUACAUGCUGGUAUUUAUGGUUACAGAUCAACGCUGAGACCGAGGUUUGAUCUGAGCACGUUGAGAAGCAAUGCUUUGUUAAGGUCACCCGUGGUAUGACGACGCUAAUAAAGGAUGCUGUGCCUGCCAACUUUGUUCGCCUGGACUUCAGAGAAGCCAAAGAGGAGAAUCAUCAUUCGCAUACCGUGUAUGGAUUCCAUGGAGUAUUCCAUCGAGUAUUUCUUCUGUUUCAAUCGUCUUGGUGAAGUUUUUGAGCUGGAUCUGGAUUCUGCUGAGGAUUCGUCG